rnacentral:rRNA from 1 species
UACGGAGGGGGCUAGCGUUGUUCGGAAUUACUGGGCGUGAAGCGCACGUAGGCGGCUUUGUAAGUUAGAGGUGAAAGCCCAGGGCUAAACCCUGGAAUUGCCUUUAAGACUGCAUCGCUUGAACAUCGGAGAGGUAAGUGGAAUUCCGAGUGUAGAGGUGAAAUUCGUAGAUAUUCGGAAGAACACCAGUGGCGAAGGCGACUUACUGGACGAUUGUUGACGCUGAGGUGCGAAAGCGUGGGGAGCAAACAGG